rnacentral:rRNA from 1 species
CAGGCCUAACACAUGCAAGUCGAACGCACCUUUGGGUGAGUGGCAGACGGGUGAGUAACACGUGGGAACGUACCCUUUGGUCUGGAAUAACUCUGGGAAACUAGAGCUAAUACCGGAUACGCCCUUUUGGGGAAAGGUUUACUGCCGAAGGAUCGGCCCGCGUCUGAUUAGCUAGUUGGUGGGGUAACGGCCUACCAAGGCGACGAUCAGUAGCUGGUCUGAGAGGAUGAUCAGCCACACUGGGACUGAGACACGGCCCAGACUCCUACGGGAGGCAGCAGUGGGGAAUAUUGGACAAUGGGCGCAAGCCUGAUCCAGCCAUGCCGCGUGAGUGAUGAAGGCCUUAGGGUUGUAAAGCUCUUUUGUCCGGGACGAUAAUGACGGUACCGGAAGAAUAGGCCCCGGCUAACUUCGUGCCAGCAGCCGCGGUAAU